UAGGGAAUCUUCCACAAUGGACGAAAGUCUGAUGGAGCAACGCCGCGUGAGUGAUGAAGGGUUUCGGCUCGUAAAACUCUGUUGUUGGAGAAGAACAGGUGAUAGAGUAACUGUUAUCAUCUUGACGGUAUCCAACCAGAAAGCCACGGCUAACUACGUGCCAGCAGCCGCGGUAAUACGUAGGUGGCAAGCGUUGUCCGGAUUUAUUGGGCGUAAAGCGAGCGCAG
rnacentral:rRNA from 1 species